CCUACGGGUGGCAGCAGUGAGGAAUAUUGGUCAAUGGACGAGAGUCUGAACCAGCCAAGUAGCGUGAAGGAUGACUGCCCUAUGGGUUGUAAACUUCUUUUAUAUGGGAAUAAAAUCUUCCACGUGUGGCAUUAUGUAUGUACCAUAUGAAUAAGGAUCGGCUAACUCCGUGCCAGCAGCCGCGGUAAUACGGAGGAUCCGAGCGUUAUCCGGAUUUAUUGGGUUUAAAGGGUGCGUAGGUGGAUUGUUAAGUCAGUUGUGAAAGUUUGCGGCUCAACCGUAAAAUUGCAGUUGAAACUGGCAGUCUUGAGUGCGGUAGAAGUAGGCGGAAUGAGUGGUGUAGCGGUGAAAUGCUUAGAUAUCACGCAGAACUCCGAUUGCGAAGGCAGCUCGCUAGACUGCAACUGACACUGAGGCACGAAAGUGUGGGUAUCGAACAGGAUUAGAUACCCUAGUAGUC
rnacentral:rRNA from 1 species